rnacentral:rRNA from 1 species
CCUACGGGUGGCAGCAGUGGGGAAUAUUGCACAAUGGGGGAAACCCUGUUCCAGCAACGCCGCGUGAGCGAUGAAGGCCUUCGGGUCGAAAAGCUCUGUCCUAAGGGAGGAAUCCUGAGGGUACCUUGGGGGGAACCCCGGGGUAACUACGUGCCAGCAGCCGCGGUAAUACGUAGGGGGCUAGCGUUUUCCGGAAUUACUGGGCGUAAAGGGUGCGUAGGCGGCCCUUCAAGUCAGAGGUGAAAGGCUACGGCUCAACCGUAGUAAGCCUUUGAAACUGUAGGGCUUGAGUGCAGGAGAGGAGAGUGGAAUUCCCAGUGUAGCGGUGAAAUGCGUAGAUAUUGGGAGGAACACCAGUUGCGAAGGCGGCUCUCUGGACUGUAACUGACGCUGAGGCACGAAAGCGUGGGGAGCGAACAGGAUUAGAUACCCCAGUAGUC